rnacentral:rRNA from 1 species
AGUUUCUGCCCUAUCAGCUUUGGAUGGUAGGGUAUUGGCCUACCAUGGCGGUAACGGGUAACGGGGAAUUAGGGUUCGAUUCCGGAGAGGGAGCCUGAGAAACGGCUACCACAUCCAAGGAAGGCAGCAGGCGCGUAAAUUACCCAAUCCUAAUUCAGGGAGGUAGUGACAAUAAAUAACAAUGCCGGGCUUUUUAAGUCUGGCAAUUGGAAUGAGAACAAUUUAAAUCCCUUAUCGAGGAUCAAUUGGAGGGCAAGUCUGGUGCCAGCAGCCGCGGUAAUUCCAGCUCCAAUAGCGUAUAUUAAAGUUGUUGCAGUUAAAAAGCUCGUAGUUGGAUUUCUGGAUUGAACGUCCGGUCCGCGUACCUUUGGUGCG